rnacentral:ncRNA from 15 species
UUUCGUUCUCGGGGCGGGGUGAAAUUCCCCACCGGCGGUAAGAACUUAGGUUUAAGCCCGCGAGCGUCUAAUCGUAUAGAUUAGAGUCAGCAGAUCUGGUGUGAUUCCAGAGCCGACGGUCAUAGUCCGGAUGAUAGAGAGCGUGU